UUUCCAUAUGCUAUUACUAAUUAAAUAACCUAAAAGAAUUGUCACACAUUCAUGUACAACAAGAUAUCAUUCAAGAUUUUUCCUUCCACCGGAUAAAACAAAGCGGAGAAACAAAACCCUAAGAAUAGAGUACGUGCAAAAUUACAUGCUUAAUUAAUUAUGGCAGUUUAAGAUACAACUUGGUUAAACAGAUGGAAAAAAGUGAUUCACCAACACCAAACACACCUUUGAAUGCAUGCAGGUCCAUCAAGGAGCCAAAAGACUUCAAAGAUCACUUUAAAUAGACCUGUAUCAGUUGCUCCUUCCUUCAACAAGACCACCCAAACUAAGCACAAAGGCACCUGCAGCAAGCCGUCUCCCCCAAGAGAAUCCUCUAUCAGUUCAAGCCAAAGCCGAUAUUGGUUCAUAAGGGUAUGACAGCCAUGGAUGCUUUAGAGCCUCUGAUGCAGAAGGGCGCUUCUUUGGAUUUACUUCAAGCAAAUAAGCUACAAAAUCGAUGAAACCUUGAUCCCCCAUUGGCAAUCGGUGCCUUAAAGAUGUCUUUUUUGGUAUCAAGUAUUCCAGUCUAUUGGUGUCCUGAUUCCUCUCAUAAAGCAUGUGAUUUUUGGUAAAAUACUUGUAGGUGUCUCGUCCUUUAGCCAGCAUAACUUGAUUAAUAGGACCCAUGAUUCCAAUAACUCGUGCCAGUAACGUUGCUGGUGAAUCAUUUUGGAAGAGUACAUUUCCAGUGCAAAGUUCGGCCAAGAUGCAGCCAAGUGACCAGAUAUCUAUCUUUUUAUCAUAUGGAAGCCCCAAGAUGACUUCUGGUGCACGAUAGGAUCUGGAUUGAAC
rnacentral:misc_RNA from 1 species